GGGAAUGAUAAAAUGUAUAUGAUUGAAAAAGAGUCUGUUGUUUGGGGGGUGUCCACAUCUUUUCCUGCUGUUUCCCUCCCACGCACCCUGCACACUACCAAUCUUUGUUAAAAUGUGUGUAGGUUUCUAGAAGAAAAGCAAUUUAUCGUCUUGUUGCUGUGGUUCCCAGGAUGUUGAAGGCUGCAAUACCGAAGGCCUCACCACUGAACGCUGAAACUUACCCAUCGCUGGCUACUUUAUAGAUAACAUCCAUAAGUCACCAUAGUAAUGGUUGCUUCAGUUGUUUUUCAGAAAUGUGGGCCGGCUCCUGUCCAGUUCAAACUGUUUGAGACCACUGACCCUUCAACUGGGCCAACACAAUUGCCCAAGACGUGGCCUUUUGACCACAGAGGGCCAAAAACUCCCCCCUCAGAUCAAGCUGAUGCCAUCAUUUUCUGUACAUAUGCCACACAAAUGUCACGAGCCCCAGCUAUGCUUGUGCAUCAUGAACCUGUUACUUUAUUUUUUCCCCUGCCAAUCACCUUUCCCCAUGCUUUAGAUCACUCCACUUUCCUAACCCCUAAACAUCCCGAAGCCUCAUUUUCAUGGAGGUGGACUUGAGAGCUGUUCUCCCACCUCCUUGCUCGGUGCCCUUGUGAAUAAAUCUUUUCUCCUUUGCAAAAUCCAUCUUCACUGUGAUUGAUUUACUGUAUGCAGGCAGAAUGGAUCUGGACUUGGCCAGGAACACACACACACACACAGACACGCACACACACACACACACACACACACACACACACACUUGCAGAUGGACUGAAAAAUGAGAUAAAAAUUCCCCAUAGACCAAAAAUAGAAGCAGGCAGAGGUGACAAGUUUUGCUCUUGUAGGAUAACAGAUUAAAAUGCUCAGCAUGGCUGGGCACAGUGG
rnacentral:lncRNA from 10 species